GUGCUUGUUUCCGCAGCGCAUAUAAUAAAAUUGGAAAGAUACAGAGAAGAUUAGCAUAGCUCCUGCGCAAGAAGGACACACAAAUUCGUGAAGUGUUCCGUAUUUAA